UUGACCCCAUGUAGAUUUGUCAUUAAAACUCUCGUUCUUAGCCUUGGAGGAGAGAGAUUUUGUUGUUUCCUUCAAUUCACUAUCUGGUCAUUUAAAUACAGAAAAGCAAGUUCUUUUACAUUUUAUAAAAUACAUUUGGAAAAUACUAAAAAGCGUCUUUGAUUCCUUUCAAUGUCGUCCUUUAAAACCUAAGGCUGAGCUCGGCUUUGUUCUCCACGAUUCCUUACAGUGAGUCGUGGUUCCAAACUGUUGGGAAUCCGAGGUUUUAGUCGGAUUUUUAUAGAAAAGUGCAGCCGACUGAAGCUGUACAGCUUCAUCCAUCUCAAUACAAACCUGCCCUGUACUGUGACCCCUGAAAUGAUCCCUAAACCGCCCAAAAACUAAAUUACCUUUUUAUUGCUGCUGAAUAAUAACAUGCCUGCUGCCGACAAGUGUGAGCUGUAUACACACAAAAUGCACCAUGUCGAGAGGGGGAUAAAGAGAAGAGGGUCUGCAGCUGUGACAAGUAGCCACGAUUUGGUCAAAAAAACCUGGUCUUAAUGAGGCAGAACCUCAGAGAGAGAGAGAGAGAGAGAGACUGUGGUGAAACUGGGAUAAAGAUGUGAAGUGUAGCUGGGUUAAGGUGAGAAGCUGACCAGUCCUACUUCAUCAUCUCCCUGGACCAUGGUGUGGUGUGAUGGUGAUGUGAUGCAGCCAUGGCUACAGUUCGUCAAAGAGCCUGAGAAAUGACUCUUCAUUUUGAAGACUACUGUCUACUGUACUGAUGUUGGACUCUUAUCUACACUUGCACAUUCAAGCACUGGCACGUCUUCAUUUAUAAGACGGCCCCAGGUCUGCUGUCUUCGUAUCACUGAACCUACAGCACAUCUGUUGGAAGGAUUUUUUUUUUCUCAGGACUUAUUGUUUCUCUCUGCACCACAGCUACGAAGAGACACAAAGAAGAGAUUAUAAAUGGAAUCAUUUUUAGAGUGCUGUGGCUCAGUGGACACUUUUAAAACACGUCUAAGUGACUGAUGGUUAAUGCUUUGACACAUUGAAUUCGGAUUAUUAUUAUUAUUAUUACUGAGGGUUUUUUUCUGCCCGUCCUGUCUGUGCCUGACUGCUGUCUGUUUUACCUAGAACACC